CUUUACUGUAGCCUGGAAUUGGGUUCGGGCUUCUCUUGCGCAGUAUAGGUGGGAGGCACAGAAGUCAUCCUUGUGGGGAUGAUGGAGCCAUCGGUGAGAUACCACUCUAGAGAGGCUAGAAUUCUAACCUUCACCCGUGAUCCGGGGAAGGAACCGUAUCAGGUGGGCAGUUUGACUGGGGCGGUCGCCUCCUAAAAGGUAACGGAGGCGCGCAAAGGUGUUCUCAGGCUGGUUGGAAAUCAGCCGUAGAGUGUAAAGGCAGAAGAACGCUUGACUGUGAGAGUGACAACUCAAGCAGGGUGGAAACACGGCCUUAGUGAUCCGACGGUAUGCGCGUGGAAGUGCCGUCGCUCAACGGAUAAAAGUUA
rnacentral:rRNA from 1 species